AUACGAAGGGGGCUAGCGUUGUUCGGAAUUACUGGGCGUAAAGCGCGCGUAGGCGGAUUGGUCAGUUAGGGGUGAAAUCCCAGGGCUUAACCCUGGAACUGCCUCUAAUACUGCCAGUCUUGAGUUCGGGAGAGGUGAGUGGGAUUCCUAGUGUAGAGGUGAAAUUCGUAGAUAUUAGGAAGAACACCAGUGGCGAAGGCGGCUCACUGGCCCGAUACUGACGCUGAGGCGCGAAAGCGUGGGGAGCAAACAGGAUUAGAUACCCUAGUAGUCC
rnacentral:rRNA from 1 species